rnacentral:rRNA from 1 species
AUUGAACGCUGGCGGCAUGCCUUACACAUGCAAGUCGAACGGUAACAGGUCUUCGGAUGCUGACGAGUGGCGAACGGGUGAGUAAUACAUCGGAACGUGCCUAGUAGUGGGGGAUAACUACUCGAAAGAGUGGCUAAUACCGCAUGAGAUCUACGGAUGAAAGCAGGGGACCGCAAGACCUUGUGCUACUAGAGCGGCCGAUGGCAGAUUAGGUAGUUGGUGGGAUAAAAGCUUACCAAGCCGACGAUCUGUAGCUGGUCUGAGAGGACGAUCAGCCACACUGGGACUGAGAAAAGGACCAGACUCCUACGGGAGUCAGCAGUGGGGAAUUUUGGACAAUGGGCGCAAGCCUGAUCCAGCAAUGCCGCGUGCAGGGUGAAGGCCUUCGGGUUGUAAACUGCUUUUGUACGGAACGAAAAGCCCCGGGUUAAUACCCUGGGGUCAUGACGGUACCGUAAGAAUAAGCACCGGCUAACUACGUGCCAGCCGCCGCCGUAA